CGUAGGGAAACUUACGCUAAUACCGCAUACGACCUACGGGUGAAAGCGGAGGACCUUCGGGCUUCGCGCAGAUAGAUGAGCCGAUGUCGGAUUAGCUAGUUGGCGGGGUAAAGGCCCACCAAGGCGACGAUCCGUAGCUGGUCUGAGAGGAUGAUCAGCCACACUGGAACUGAGACACGGUCCAGACUCCUACGGGAGGCAGCAGUGGGGAAUAUUGGACAAUGGGCGCAAGCCUGAUCCAGCCAUGCCGCGUGGGUGAAGAAGGCCUUCGGGUUGUAAAGCCCUUUUGUUGGGAAAGAAAAGCAGUCGGUUAAUACCCGAUUGUUCUGACGGUACCCAAAGAAUAAGCACCGGCUAACUUCGUGCCAGCAGCCGCGGUAAUACGAAGGGUGCAAGCGUUACUCGGAAUUACUGGGCGUAAAGCGUGCGUAGGUGGU
rnacentral:rRNA from 1 species